rnacentral:rRNA from 1 species
AUUGAACGCUGGCGGCAGGCCUAACACAUGCAAGUCGAGCGGAUGAAGGGAGCUUGCUCCUGGAUUCAGCGGCGGACGGGUGAGUAAUGCCUAGGAAUCUGCCUGGUAGUGGGGGAUAACGUCCGGAAACGGGCGCUAAUACCGCAUACGUCCUGAGGGAGAAAGUGGGGGAUCUUCGGACCUCACGCUACUAGAUGAGCCUAGGUCGGAUUAGCUAGUUGGUGGGGUAAAGGCCUACCAAGGCGACGAUCCGUAACUGGUCUGAGAGGAUGAUCAGUCACACUGGAACUGAGACACGGUCCAGACUCCUACGGGAGGCAGCAGUGGGGAAUAUUGGACAAUGGGCGGAAGCCUGAUCCAGCCAUGCCGCGUGUGUGAAGAAGGUCUUCGGAUUGUAAAGCACUUUAAGUUGGGAGGAAGGGCAGUAAGUUAAUACCUUGCUGUUUUGACGUUACCAACAGAAUAAGCACCGGCUAACUUCGUG